UACGUAGGGGGCGAGCGUUUGUCCGGAAUUAUUGGGCGUAAAGAGCGUGUAGGCGGUUCGGUAAGUCUGCCGUGAAAACCUGAGGCUCAACCUCGGGCGUGCGGUGGAUACUGCCGGGCUAGAGGACGGUAGAGGCGAGUGGAAUUCCCGGUGUAGCGGUGAAAUGCGCAGAUAUCGGGAGGAACACCUGUGGCGAAAGCGGCGCACUGGACCACAACUGACGCUGAGGCGCGAAAGCUAGGGGAGCAAACAGG
rnacentral:rRNA from 1 species